rnacentral:rRNA from 1 species
GAUGAACGCUGGCUACAGGCUUAACACAUGCAAGUCGAGGGGAAACGCCGGGGAAGCUUGCUUCCCCGGGCGUCGACCGGCGCACGGGUGAGUAACGCGUAUCCAACCUGCCUCUGACUGAGGGAUAACCCGUCGAAAGUCGGCCUAAUACCUCAUGGCAUCGUCUGCGGGCAUCCAACGACGAUUAAAGAUUUCAUCGGUCAGGGACGGGGAUGCGUCUGAUUAGCUUGUUGGCGGGGUACCGGCCCACCAAGGCUACGAUCAGGAGGGGUUCUGAGAGGAAGGUACCCCACAGUGGAACUGGGGCACGGUCCAAACUGGUACGGGAGGCAGCAGUGAGGAAUAUUGGUGAAGGGGCGGGAGCCUGAACCAGCCGAGUAGCGUGCAGGAGGACGGCGCUAUGGGUGGUAAACUGCUUUUAGGCGGGGAUAAAGUGAGGGACGUGUGCUUCAUUGCAGGUACCGAAUGAAUAAGAACCGGCUAAUUCCGUG